UGCCGAAUUCCUGCGUGGGGUAACCCUUGGAGCAGCGGUGCGGGGCCACCCCCGCCAGCUGCUCCCGCAGGAAGGAGCGGGUGACGCUCUGCUGCGGGGGACACUCGGUGACCCCUCGGAGGGGCAGUCCGGUGCCUGAAAAAAAAGAGGGGAAUUUUCAUGGAAAAUCCUCCUUGGAAGGGAUCAAAUCCAACUCCGGGCCCUGCUCAGAAUUCCCAGAAUUCCCAAAACUGGGAAAACGCUCCUGGAGCCUUGGGAAGGUCCUGCUUUCCCAGGAAAUCCCGGGGGCGCCGGCGCCGCUUUUCCAGGCGGAUCCCAACAUUCCCAGGGCUCAAGGGAGGAUCCCGAAGGCAAAUCCCGGCUCCAGCCCGGAUUCCUCUCACUUUUAUGGAUUCUCCCUGCCCUGAACAACAACAACAACAACACCCCCGGAGGUUUUCAUGCUGAAUUCCCUGACCUGGAAUUCCGGGAAUAAACAGGCGUCGGAGCGUGGCUUAGGCCGGGUUUUAUGGGAAUUCUUUGGGAAGCUCGGGAUCAAGGAGAGCUCCUAAUUCCCGGUUGUGUGUGCCCAGUGCAAGGGAGCGGGGCAUUAAAGUCAUUAAAAAUGUCCUUAAUUAGCACCCCAAUGUCCUUAAUUAACA